rnacentral:rRNA from 1 species
UACGUAGGUGACAAGCGUUGUCCGGAUUUACUGGGCGUAAAGAGCGCGCAGGCGGUCGUUCAAGUCGAGUGUGAAAGCCCCCGGCUCAACUGGGGAGGGUCAUUCGAUACUGAUCGACUCGAAGGCAGGAGAGGGAAGUGGAAUUCCCGGUGUAGUGGUGAAAUGCGCAGAUAUCAGGAAGAACACCCGUGGCGAAGGCGGCUCUCUGGGACGGUACUGACGCUGAGACGCGAAAGCGUGGGGAGCGAGCAGG